rnacentral:hammerhead_ribozyme from 1 species
AUACAGCUGACGAGUCCCGAAUGGGACGAAAAGCGUAUCCUGAAU